rnacentral:rRNA from 1 species
CAGUCGCCACGGGAAUACAGAGGAUGCAAGCGUCAUCCGGAAUGAUUGGGCGUAAAGGGCUCGCAGGCGGUUUCUUAAGUCUGAUGUGAAAGCCCCCGGCUCAACCGGGGAGGGUCAUUGGAAACUGGGAAACUUGAGUGCAGAAGAGGAGAGUGGAAUUCCACGUGUAGCGGUGAAAUGCGUAGAGAUGUGGAGGAACACCAGUGGCGAAGGCGACUCUCUGGUCCGUAACUGACGCUGAGGAGCGAAAGCGUGGGGAGCGAACAGGAUUAGAUACCCCAGUAGUCCCUGUCUCUUAUAC